rnacentral:rRNA from 1 species
UACGUAGGGGGCGAGCGUUGUCCGGAUUCAUUGGGCGUAAAGCGCGCGUAGGCGGCUCGACAAGUCGGCCGUGAAAUCUACAGGCUCAACUUGGAGGGGUCGGGCGAGACUGUCGGGCUCGAGGUGGGCAGAGGGCAGUGGAAUUCCGGGUGUAGUGGUGGAAUGCGUAGAGAUCCGGAGGAACACCAGUGGCGAAGGCGGCUGCCUGGGCCUGGCCUGACGCUGAGGCGCGAAAGCGUGGGGAGCGA